UACGUAGGGGACGAGCGUUGUCCGGAAUUACUGGGCGUAAAGGGCGCGCAGGCGGUAUAUCAAGUCAGCUGUCAAAGACUGGGGCUCAACCCUGGUAUGCGGUUGAAACUGAUAUGCUGGAGUGCUGUAGAGGCAAGUGGAAUUCCCAGUGUAGCGGUGAAAUGCAUAGAUAUCACGAGGAACUCCGAUUGCGCAGGCAGCUUACUAAACUACUACUGACGCUCAUGCACGAAGGCGUGGGGAGUCAAA
rnacentral:rRNA from 1 species